ACAGGUUGGUCAACUAUAGAGAAAUAAAAAUCCGGCUUUCUUUUUAGGUUAUAUUUGUCUUUUCCGUAAGAGCAUAGUGUUGUUGCAAAUGCAUCCAUAUGAUUUAUAGAAAAUAAAUUGAUUGUGUAAAAUGCCUUCUCAAGAAAUUGUGGUUCCGCAACCUCCAACAACCGAAAGCGAAGAUAAUGCACCAUCGUCACAACCUAUCGUUGGAAUUAUUUAUCCUCCUCCAGAGGUUAGGAAUAUCGUUGACAAAACUGCUAGCUUCGUUGCUAGAAAUGGACCAGAAUUUGAAUCGAGAAUUAGACAAAAUGAAUUGGGAAAUCCGAAAUUUAAUUUCUUAAAUUUUGGUGAUCCCUAUCAUGCAUAUUAUCAACAUAAAGUUAAAGAAUUUAAAGAAGGUAAAGCACAAGAACCAUCUGCUGGUACUGGUACUGGUAAAACUGUAAAUCUUACUGCACAUCAAAAGCAACAAGAGAUUUUAAAGCAAGUCGAACAACCUUUCGUACCUAAAGAUCCACCUGCAGAAUUUGAAUUUAUCGCUGAUCCUCCUUCUAUUUCUGCAUUAGAUUUGGAUAUUGUCAAAUUGACAGCACAAUUUGUAGCACGUAAUGGACGUCAAUUUUUAACCAAUUUAAUGAACAGAGAACAACGUAACUUUCAAUUUGAUUUCUUACGUCCUCAACAUUCAUUGUUUCAAUAUUUUACAAAACUUCUUGAACAAUAUACUAAAGUAUUGAUCCCACCUAAGGAUUUAUUACCACGACUGAAAGAUGAAGUUUAUAACAUGGAUAAGAUUUUGGAACAAGUUAAGUAUCGUGCUGAAUGGUUGAAAUAUCAAGAAGCUCAAAGACGUAAAGAGGAGGAAGAAUUAGAACGGGAGAGAGUUGCUUAUGCUCAAAUUGAUUGGCAUGAUUUUGUUGUCGUUGAAACUGUUGAUUAUCAACAAUUUGAAGUGGGUAAUUUUCCAGCACCAACAACUCCUGACGAAGUCGGAGCUAGGGUUCUUAUGCAGGAGCGUAUAGAAGAAGGGGAAGAUGUUGAGAUGCAAAUUGACAGCGAUGGAGAAGAAGAAAUGCAAAAUCGUACCGAUGGUGAAAAAGAUCGUGCGAAGGAUAAUAAUCAAGUACAAGAUAUGGAGGAGGAUUCAAGUGACGACGACGACGUGUCUCCUCCAGGUGAUUCUCACAAAUCUAAAGAAUCUAAGAUACGAGAUGCAAGUAUGCAACCUCCGCCAUUACCACCGACACCUGGUAAUGUUGUUGUCAAGAAAGGAUAUGAUCCAAAACAACAUGCUGUUAAAGCGGCUCGUCCAGUUGCACCUGAUGAAUAUUUGAUUUCUCCGAUUACGGGAGAACGUAUACCUGCUAGUAAAGUUCAAGAGCAUAUGAGAAUAGGUUUAUUGGAUCCACGGUGGGUAGAACAACGGGAUAAACAUUUAGAUAAGUUGGCGCAGCAAACGGUGUUUGCUCCGGGUACUGCAAUUGAGGCCAGUCUUAAGCAACUCGCUGAAAGGCGUACUGAUAUCUUCGGUGUUGGUGAUGAAGAAACAGCGAUUGGUAAAAAGAUCGGCGAAGAGGAUAAGAAGAAAGAUGAUAAAGUUACAUGGGAUGGUCAUACGUCUAGUGUUGAAGCAGCGACUAGAGCAGCUCGAGCAAAUAUUACUUUAGAAGAACAAAUUCAUCAAAUACACAAAGUCAAAGGACUUCUUCCUGAUGAAGAGAAAGAAAAGAUUGGUCCAAAGCCUGCCAAUCGUGCAGCUGAACUUUCUCAUAUGGCUGCUGUUGCAUCUAAGCCUCAAGCUACUCUCAAAGCACCUCCUAAACCACCAGCACCGAAACCAAUACCAGUUCCAGCCCAACCACCACCACCACCAGCUAUGAGUAUGCCUACAAUGGCAAUUCCACAACCAAUGAUGCCGCAGCCACCGAUGAUGAUGAUGGCUCCUAUGCCACCAAUAAGACCACCACCCCUUAUGACACCUACUAUGUCACCAUUUAUGCCAACACCACCACCUAUGCAACCACCAAUGGCAUCAGCUAUCGGUAUCAAACAUACUGCAGAACCUAUGGAGGAAGAACCUCAAGCUAAGAAAUUGCGUUCUGAAGAUACAUUGAUUCCUGAACAAGCAUUCCUUGCUAGAAAUAAGGGUCCGGUACAAUUGAAUAUUGCUGUACCCAUGAUGACAGAGAAGGCUGAAUGGAAAUUAAAUGGACAAACAUUGAGUAUCACUUUGCAACUGACCGAUACUGUCGUAACUAUGAAAGCUUUGAUUCAUGAACAAACUGGUAUGCCACCAGGCAAACAAAAGUUGCAAUACGAGGGAAUGUUCUUUAAAGAUGGUAACACACUUGCUUAUUAUAAUUUAUCAUCUGGAAAUGUCAUCAAUCUUCUUCCCAAGGAAAGAGGUGGCAGAAAAAAAUAAAUGAUCAAUUUUAUAAGAAUCCCGAUUGGAGUUGGUAGCGAAAGAGAUCACGAGAGCAGCAGCAACAAGAGGAGGAGGUGGUGGUGGUGGUGGUGGAGGAUGAGAAGGAAGAGGAAAGGGUGAUGAUGGUGGUGGUCGUCAUCGUUGAAGAAGAGAGAAGAGGUGAAAGGGUUUAGAAACGCAUGGCCCGACCACUCUCAACUUUACUGCCGAGAUAAGAAGAACUGCGCGUAAGCGACAAUUCCUCUUCAUCUUCUUCUUCUUCAAAAUACGAGUACAUAUAUAUAUAUAUAU
rnacentral:misc_RNA from 1 species